rnacentral:rRNA from 1 species
AUUGAACGCUGGCGGAAUGCUUUACACAUGCAAGUCGAACGGCAGCACGGACUUCGGUCUGGUGGCGAGUGGCGAACGGGUGAGUAAUGUAUCGGAACGUGCCCAGUCGUGGGGGAUAACGUAGUGAAAAUUACGCUAAUACCGCAUACGAUCUAUGAAUGAAAGCGGGGGAUCGCAAGACCUAGCGCGAUUGGAGCGGCCGAUAUCAGAUUAGGUAGUUGGUGGGGUAAAGGCCCACCAAGCCAACGAUCUGUAGCUGGUCUGAGAGGACGACCGGCCACACUGGAACUGAGACACGGUCCAGACUCCUACGGGAGGCAGCAGUGGGGAAUUUUGGACAAUGGGCGAAAGCCUGAUCCAGCCAUUCCGCGUGCAGGAUGAAGGCCCUCGGGUUGUAAACUGCUUUUGUACAGAACGAAAAGGUUUCUACUAAUACUAGGAGCUCAUGACGGUACUGUAAGAAUAAGCACCGGCUAACUACGUGCCAGCAGCCGCCGUAA